GACGAACGCUGGCGGCGUGCUUAACACAUGCAAGUCGAACGAGACGAUUGAAAGCUUGCUUUUAAAAGUCGAGUGGCAAACGGGUGAGUAACGCGUAGACAACCUGCCUUUGAGAUGGGGACAACAGUUCGAAAGGACUGCUAAUACCGAAUGUUGUAUAUUUUCCACAUGGAAGAUAUAUUAAAGAUGGCCUCUAUUUAUAAGCUAUCGCUCAAAGAUGGGUCUGUGUCUGAUUAGCUAGUUGGUGGGGUAACGGCCUACCAAGGCGACGAUAGGGAGCCGGUCGGAGAGGGUGAACGGCCACAUUGGGACUGAGACACGGCCCAGACUCCUACGGGAGGCAGCAGUGGGGAAUCUUCCACAAUGGACGAAAGUCUGAUGGAGCAACGCCGCGUGAGUGAAGAAGGGUUUCGGCUCGUAAAGCUCUGUUGUCGGGGACGAAUGUGCAGUAUUUGAAUAAAGUACUGCAAUGACGGUACCUGACGAGGAAGCCACGGCUAACUACGUGCCAGCCGCCGCCGUAA
rnacentral:rRNA from 1 species